rnacentral:tRNA from 1 species
UCCCUGGUGGCUUAGAGGGUAAAGCGUCUGCCUGCAAUGCAGGAGACCUGGGUUCAAUCCCUAAGUUGGGAA